CUACGGGAGGCAGCAGUGGGGAAUCUUGGACAAUGGGCGCAAGCCUGAUCCAGCCAUGCCGCGUGAGUGAUGAAGGCCUUAGGGUCGUAAAGCUCUUUCGCCAGGGAUGAUAAUGACAGUACCUGGUAAAGAAACCCCGGCUAACUCCGUGCCAGCAGCCGCGGUAAUACGGAGGGGGUUAGCGUUGUUCGGAAUUACUGGGCGUAAAGCGCGCGUAGGCGGAUUGGAAAGUUGGGGGUGAAAUCCCAGGGCUCAACCCUGGAACUGCCUCCAAAACUCCCAGUCUUGAGUUCGAGAGAGGUGAGUGGAAUUCCGAGUGUAGAGGUGAAAUUCGUAGAUAUUCGGAGGAACACCAGUGGCGAAGGCGGCUCACUGGCUCGAUACUGACGCUGAGGUGCGAAAGUGUGGGGAGCAAACAGGAUUAGAUACCCUGGUAGUCCACACCGUAAACGAUGAAUGCCAGUCGUCGGGUAGCAUGCUAUUCGGUGACACACCUAACGGAUUAAGCAUUCCGCCUGGGGAGUACGGUCGCAAGAUUAAAACUCAAAGGAAUUGACGG
rnacentral:rRNA from 1 species